rnacentral:rRNA from 1 species
UACAGAGGGUGCAAGCGUUGUUCGGAAUUACUGGGCGUAAAGGGCGCGUAGGCGGUGUGUCAAGUCAGGCGUGAAAGCCCCGGGCUCAACCUGGGAACCGCGCUUGAGACUGGCACGCUCGAGUUCGGGAGAGGAUGGUGGAAUUCCCAGUGUAGAGGUGAAAUUCGUAGAUAUUGGGAAGAACACCGAUGGCGAAGGCAGCCAUCUGGACCGACACUGACGCUGAGGCGCGAAAGCGUGGGGAGCAAACAGG